GGGCAGAUAGCUCAGUUGGUAGAGCACGUGACUGAAAAUCACGGGGUCGCCGGUUCAACCCCGGCUCUGCCCACCA
rnacentral:tRNA from 1 species